rnacentral:rRNA from 1 species
GAAGGUGUGCUGUGAGGCAUGCUGGAGGUAUCAGAAGUGCGAAUGCUGACAUAAGUAACGAUAAAGCGGGUGAAAAGCCCGCUCGCCGGAAGACCAAGGGUUCCUGUCCAACGUUAAUCGGGGCAGGGUGAGUCGACCCCUAAGGCGAGGCCGAAAGGCGUAGUCGAUGGGAAACAGGUUAAUAUUCCUGUACUUGGUGUUACUGCGAAGGGGGGACGGAGAAGGCUAUGUU